UACGUAGGGUGCAAGCGUUUGUCCGGAAUUAUUGGGCGUAAAGAGCUCGUAGGCGGUCUGUCGCGUCUGCUGUGAAAACUCAGGGCUUAACCCUGAGCUUGCAGUGGGUACGGGCAGACUAGAGUGCGGUAGGGGGAGACUGGAAUUCCUGGUGUAGCGGUGAAAUGCGCAGAUAUCAGGAGGAACACCGGUGGCGAAGGCGGGUCUCUGGGCAGUAACUGACGCUGGAGGAGCGAAA
rnacentral:rRNA from 1 species